AAAGAAACAAUUUUUAUAACACCCAAAAUCAAGAAAUGGCAGCUAAUUCAGUUAAUACAAUCUCAAUGCUUGAUUCCAACAUGGAAGUUGAUAAGCUCACAAACGAAAUUUUCUCAAUUCUUGAAAACAAAUUCCUCUUUGGUUACGAUGACCCAAAAAAAUCUGUCACCGGAAACGAAGAAAAUUUGUCAGCUCGGUUCGCCGGGAACAAAAAUGUCGGCGCCGGAAAAGUCAGAAUUUUGUCAAUUGAUGCUGGUGGGUCUACUGAUGGUGUCCUUGCAGCAAAAUCUUUAACCCAUUUGGAAUCAACCCUUCGCCGGAAAUCUGGAAAAUCCGAUGCUCAUAUUGCUGACUUCUUCGAUGUCGUCGCCGGCUCCGGCACCGGCGGUGUUCUCGCCGGUCUUCUUUUCACACGUGGGGCUGAUGGGGUUCCUAUGUUUACAACUGACGAAGCUCUGAGAUUCAUCGUCGAAAACGGUGAGAAAAUUUCCCGGAGUUCCAAAACUGGAUUUUUCCGGCAGGUUUCCCGGCCGGCGAAGGUGUUCAAGAAAGUGUUCGGAGAUUUAACGUUAAAAGAUACGAUGAAAGCGGUUUUGAUCCCCUGCUACGACCUCAAAACAGGUGCACCGUUUGUUUUUUCCCGCGCUGAUGCGUGGGAAAUGGACGGCUGCGAUUUCGCCAUGUCGGAUGUAUGUGGGGCCACGAUGGCUGAUCGUGCGGUUGAUUUGAAGUCAAUUGAUGGUCGUUCGAAGAUCACAGCCGUAGGUGGUGGAAUAGCGAUGACUAAUCCAACGGCUGCCGCGAUUACACAUGUCCUUAAUAACAAACAAGAGUUUCCAUUUGCUAAUGGAGUUGAAGAUUUAUUGGUUGUUUCAUUGGGUAAUGGAGAUUCCGAUUCCGGCACCGGAAAUGUCAUGUCAUCACCGGCGGCGUUUGUUAAGAUUGCCGGAGAUGGAACCGCCGAUAUGGUAGAUCAAGCUGUAUCAAUGGCAUUUGGACAAACAAGGAACAAUAACUAUGUAAGAAUUCAAGGAAAUGGUAUUGUUGGGAAAAAAUACCAAUUAAUUAAAGAUGAAAAUAUGAACAAAUGUGAAAAAAUGAAAAAAAUGGUGGUAAUUGCUGAGGAAAUGUUAGGGCAAAAAAAUGUUGAAUGUGUAUUAUUUCAAGGAAAGAAAUUGGUUGAAAAUUCAAAUUUGGACAAAUUAAAGACGAUAGCAAGUGAACUGAUCAAAGAACAAGAAAGGAGAAAAACUAGCAUUUUGCCCCCUGUGGUUUUGAAACAUGCAUCACCAUCCCCUAGAACAUCGUCCGUGACAACCUUGUCCUCCGAUUCAUCGUGUUAAAUCCUAAAGUAUUUGAUGAAAUAGUUAAGGUGUGAGCAUACUAGUCUGAAAAAAAAAAAGAAGGACUAGUGAUUAAUAGAGUAGGG
rnacentral:misc_RNA from 1 species